GGGGGGUAUGUCGGAAAUUUGAAAGUUUUGUCUGAAAUUUAGGAGGUUUUGGCCCCCCACCGGAAAAGUGAAUUUCCGCCACUGGUUUACAACAUUUCGCAACCAAACUUUGCAAUCUGACUAAUUUUAGUUCCUAGCUGUGGUGAUGGAUUUUGUUCUUCUUGUCCAGAUCAAAAUUUAGUCUAUAGCUGGAAUUGCCUAUUGUCUCGAACAUUUUUAUGUAAUAUUAUUAGUCUUAUUAAUACGUAACAGGAUCGUUUCUCGUAAAAUUUGGAUAAAAACAAGCACUCGUGAGUUGUUCAAAGACCUCAAAUAUCACUCGUCCUUCGUGACUCGUGCAAGUUAGUCCAUGUGUCAGGUGACCUCGAAAAGUGCCUAGAAAACGAUUUUCAUGAACAAUGAAAAAAUUGUGUUCUGAAAUUAGUGAAGAUAAAAUAGCAUUUUGUGAAAAAACUGCGGGUCUACGGAGUGGGAACUUUUAGGAUUUGAACUCAGCGUGUUCGAAAGUGUUAGUUUCCGUAAAAAUAUUUCAAAUCUAAGACAUGCUUAAUGAAAGUGAACAACACACGGACUACAUGUUUUAUCCUGCUAAUCAGUUUUGCACAUGGCAAAUUUUGACUAACUUUACAUAAGGGGAGGACCACUAGAAAUCCCGGGGGGAGGGGGUAUAACAUUUUUGCGUCACGAUUUUUUUUUCAGUCUCAUGCCUCUGCAGGUUUUUUUUUAUGCGUCAGCCUCUGCAAGAAUUUUUUUCAAGACUAUUUGCACUUUGC